GCUCCCUGAUGUUAGCGGCGGACGGGUGAGUAACACGUGGGUAACCUGCCUGUAAGACUGGGAUAACUCCGGGAAACCGGGGCUAAUACCGGAUGCUUGUUUGAACCGCAUGGUUCAAACAUAAAAGGUGGCUUCGGCUACCACUUACAGAUGGACCCGCGGCGCAUUAGCUAGUUGGUGAGGUAACGGCUCACCAAGGCAACGAUGCGUAGCCGACCUGAGAGGGUGAUCGGCCACACUGGGACUGAGACACGGCCCAGACUCCUACGGGAGGCAGCAGUAGGGAAUCUUCCGCAAUGGACGAAAGUCUGACGGAGCAACGCCGCGUGAGUGAUGAAGGUUUUCGGAUCGUAAAGCUCUGUUGUUAGGGAAGAACAAGUACCGUUCGAAUAGGGCGGUACCUUGACGGUACCUAACCAGAAAGCCACGGCUAACUACGUGCCAGCAGCCGCGGUAAUACGUAGGUGGCAAGCGUUGUCCGGAAUUAUUGGGCGUAAAGGGCUCGCAGGCGGUUUCUUAAGUCUGAUGUGAAAGCCCCCGGCUCAACCGGGGAGGGUCAUUGGAAACUGGGGAACUUGAGUGCAGAAGAGGAGAGUGGAAUUCCACGUGUAGCGGUGAAAUGCGUAGAGAUGUGGAGGAACACCAGUGGCGAAGGCGACUCUCUGGUCUGUAACUGACGCUGAGGAGCGAAAGCGUGGGGAGCGAACAGGAUUAGAUACCCUGGUAGUCCACGCCGUAAACGAUGAGUGCUAAGUGUUAGGGGGUUUCCGCCCCUUAGUGCUGCAGCUAACGCAUUAAGC
rnacentral:rRNA from 2 species